rnacentral:tRNA from 1 species
UCUAAGGAUGAUUAAGGAUUUUUUCUUAAUCUAAAUAUUAUACAGGUUAAUGUUGACCGUCCUCAUUUCUCUUCUUAAAGUAGUGUUUCUCUUUUCUGCAUAGGGGCCGGUAGCUCAGUUGGUUAGAGCACACCCUUGAUAAGGGUGGGGUCGAAAGUUCGAGUCUUUCUCGGCCCACCAAAUUAAUGGGGGAUUAGCUCAGCUGGGAGAGCGCCUGAUUUGCAUUCAGGAGGUCAGCGGUUCGAUCCCGCUAUCCUCCACCAAGAGACACUUAGUUAUUUUAUUUGUGAAAAAUUUUAAUAUUAUCAAUAUCUAUAUCCGAUUGUUCGAAUAGAUGAACAAUCAUGAAUAUUUGAAUAAAUGAAUAUUCCAACAAAAUUUGAUUCAACACAGAAUUUUUUUCUGUGCAUAAAU